AUUGAACGCUGGCGGCAGGCUUAACACAUGCAAGUCGAGCGGGGUGAUGGUGCUUGCACUAUCACUUAGCGGCGGACGGGUGAGUAAUGCUUAGGAAUCUGCCUAUUAGUGGGGGACGACAUCUCGAAAGGGAUACUAAUACCGCAUACGUCCUACGGGAGAAAGCAGGGGAUCACUUGUGACCUUGCGCUAAUAGAUGAGCCUAAGUCGGAUUAGCUAGUUGGUGGGGUAAAGGCCUACCAAGGCGACGAUCUGUAGCGGGUCUGAGAGGAUGAUCCGCCACACUGGGACUGAGACACGGCCCAGACUCCUACGGGAGGCAGCAGUGGGGAAUAUUGGACAAUGGGGGGAACCCUGAUCCAGCCAUGCCGCGUGUGUGAAGAAGGCCUUAUGGUCGUAAAGCACUUUAAGCGAGGAGGAGGCUCUUUUGGUUAAUACCCAAGAUGAGUGGACGUUACUCGCAGAAUAAGCACCGGCUAACUCUGUGCCAGCCGCCGCCGUAA
rnacentral:rRNA from 1 species